CUACGGGGGGCUGCAGGCGCGAAACUUCUACAAUGCGCGCAAGCGUGAUAGAGGGAUUUCAAGUGCUAGCUUUGCUAGCUUUUGCCAAGCGUAGAUAACUUGGCGAAUAAGUGCUGGGUAAGAUGCGUGCCAGCCGCCGCGGUAACACGUACAGCACAAGUGGUGUCCACUUAUAUUGGGCCUAAAGCAUCUGUAGCCGGUUUAAUAAGUCUUUGGUGAAAUCAGCAAGCUUAACUUGUUGAAUGGCUAAAGAUACUGUUAUGACUCGAGGACGGAAGACGUAAAGGGAAUUCUAGGAGUAGGAGUGAAAUCUUGUGAUCCCUAGAGGACCUCCAGUAGCGAAGGCGCUUUACGAGAACGUUCCUGACGGUGAGAGAUGAAAGCUGGGGGAGCGACCCGGAUUAGAUACCCUAGUAGUC
rnacentral:rRNA from 1 species